rnacentral:rRNA from 1 species
AUUGAACGCUGGCGGCAUGCCUUACACAUGCAAGUCGAACGGUAACGGGCCUUCGGGUGCCGACGAGUGGCGAACGGGUGAGUAAUACAUCGGAACGUGCCCGAUCGUGGGGGAUAACGAGGCGAAAGCUUUGCUAAUACCGCAUACGAUCUACGGAUGAAAGCGGGGGACCGCAAGGCCUUGCGCGGACGGAGCGGCCGAUGGCAGAUUAGGUAGUUGGUGGGAUAAAAGCUUACCAAGCCGACGAUCUGUAGCUGGUCUGAGAGGAUGAUCAGCCACACUGGGACUGAGACACGGCCCAGACUCCUACGGGAGGCAGCAGUGGGGAAUUUUGGACAAUGGGCGCAAGCCUGAUCCAGCCAUGCCGCGUGCAGGAUGAAGGCCUUCGGGUUGUAAACUGCUUUUGUACGGAACGAAAAGCCUUCUUUUAAUACAGGAGGGUCAUGACGGUACUGUAAGAAUAAGCACCGGCUAACUACGUG